GGGCGUGUGGUCUAGUGGUAUGAUUCUCGCUUUGGGGGACUUCCUGAUUAACAGGGAGACAAAGCAUGCGAGAGGCCCUGGGUUCAAUUCCCAGCUCGCCCC
rnacentral:tRNA from 1 species